rnacentral:rRNA from 1 species
UGGCGAACGGGUGAGUAACACGUGAGCAACCUGCCCCUGACUCUGGGAUAAGCGCUGGAAACGGCGUCUAAUACUGGAUAUGUGACGUGACCGCAUGGUCUGCGUUUGGAAAGAUUUUUCGGUUGGGGAUGGGCUCGCGGCCUAUCAGCUUGUUGGUGAGGUAAUGGCUCACCAAGGCGUCGACGGGUAGCCGGCCUGAGAGGGUGACCGGCCACACUGGGACUGAGACACGGCCCAGACUCCUACGGGAGGCAGCAGUGGGGAAUAUUGCACAAUGGGCGAAAGCCUGAUGCAGCAACGCCGCGUGAGGGAUGACGGCCUUCGGGUUGUAAACCUCUUUUAGCAGGGAAGAAGCGAAAGUGACGGUACCUGCAGAAAAAGCGCCGGCUAACUACGUGCCAGCAGCCGCGGUAAUACGUAGGGCGCAAGCGUUAUCCGGAAUUAUUGGGCGUAAAGAGCUCGUAGGCGGUUUGUCGCGUCUGCUGUGAAAUCCCGAGGCUCAACCUCGGGCCUGCAGUGGGUACGGGCAGACUAGAGUGCGGUAGGGGAGAUUGGAAUUCCUGGUGUAGCGGUGGAAUGCGCAGAUAUCAGGAGGAACACCGAUGGCGAAGGCAGAUCUCUGGGCCGUAACUGACGCUGAGGAGCGAAAGGGUGGGGAGCAAACAGGCUUAGAUACCCUGGUAGUCCACCCCGUAAACGUUGGGAACUAGUUGUGGGGUCCAUUCCACGGAUUCCGUGACGCAGCUAACGCAUUAAGUUCCCCGCCUGGGGAGUACGGCCGCAAGGCUAAAACUCAAAGGAAUUGACGGGGACCCGCACAAGCGGCGGAGCAUGCGGAUUAAUUCGAUGCAACGCGAAGAACCUUACCAAGGCUUGACAUAUACGAGAACGGGCCAGAAAUGGUCAACUCUUUGGACACUCGUAAACAGGUGGUGCAUGGUUGUCGUCAGCUCGUGUCGUGAGAUGUUGGGUUAAGUCCCGCAACGAGCGCAACCCUCGUUCUAUGUUGCCAGCACGUAAUGGUGGGAACUCAUGGGAUACUGCCGGGGUCAACUCGGAGGAAGGUGGGGAUGACGUCAAAUCAUCAUGCCCCUUAUGUCUUGGGCUUCACGCAUGCUACAAUGGCCGGUACAAAGGGCUGCAAUACCGUGAGGUGGAGCGAAUCCCAAAAAGCCGGUCCCAGUUCGGAUUGAGGUCUGCAACUCGACCUCAUGAAGUCGGAGUCGCUAGUAAUCGCAGAUCAGCAACGCUGCGGUGAAUACGUUCCCGGGUCUUGUACACACCGCCCGUCAAGUCAUGAAAGUCGGUAACACCUGAAGCC